rnacentral:lncRNA from 1 species
CAGUGUAGAGACAUUGAGUGAUGAGUGUGGAUAAUUGUUAGAAAAUAACUAAUACUGAGCGUGACCAUAUGAGAGAUCAUCUGAAUUUCUACUUGAUUAUCAGUGAUCGUCUUAAUGCUGUAGUUGUAUGAAUGAUCUUUUGAUUUGUGAUGGUACAAUUACUCACAGUGAGACUGCUAGAGUUUGACUGAUAUAUAAAUAUGAUAUCAUUG